rnacentral:rRNA from 1 species
UCGGGAAUUUUGGGCAAUGGGCGCAAGCCUGACCCAGCAACGCCGCGUGAAGGAUGAAAUCCCUCGGGAUGUAAACUUCACAAGAUCGGGAAGAAUAAGGCCUGGUAAAUAACCAGCGCCGAUGACGGUACUGAUUGUAAGCUCCGGCUAACUCCGUGCCAGCAGCCGCGGUAAUACGGGGGGAGCAAGCGUUGUUCGGAUUUACUGGGCGUAAAGGGCGCGUAGGCGGCGCGACAAGUCACUUGUGAAAUCUCCGGGCUUAACUCGGUAGAGGCCAAGUGAUACUGUCGUGCUUGAGUGCGGAAGGGGCAACCGGAAUUCUUGGUGUAGCGGUGAAAUGCGUAGAUAUCAAGAGGAACACCUGCGGCGAAGGCGGGUUGCUGGGCCGACACUGACGCUGAGGCGCGAAAGCUAGGGGAGCGAACGGG